GACGAACGCUGGCGGCGUGCCUAAUCCAUGCAAGUCGAACGCAGUGGGGACGGGUGAGUAACACGUGGGUAACCUCCCAUCAGAGGGGAUAACACUUGGAAAAAGGUGCUAAACCGAUAUCGGUGGCUGGAGUCGCGUGGCAUGAGCUAGUUGGUGAGGUAACGGCCAACCAAGGCCACGAUGCAUAGCUGACCUGAGAGGGUGAUCAGCCACACUGGGACUGAGACACGGCCCAGACUCCUACGGGAGGCAGCAGUGGGGAAUCUUGGGCAAUGGGCGAAAGUCUGACAGAGCAACGCCGCGUGAGUGAAGAAGGUUUUCGGAUCGUAAAACUCUGUUGGUAGAGAAGCGGUAUCUAACCAGAAAGCCACGGCUAACUACGUGCCAGCCGCCGCGGUAAUAC
rnacentral:rRNA from 1 species